GUGUCCCAGGAGAGAUGGCACCUGCUUUGAGCUGUGAUUGAUUAAGCAGGUUUCAUCUCCCUGAGACAUCAGAUGCUGCUACUUCUAAUCUUCCAGACACCAGUCUUUCUUCAAAAACACAUGCAAAGGCUGCUUCUAUGCAUCCUUAUGGAAAAACUUAUAAUAUUUAUCGAUUAUUUGAAGAGAUCUUAGAGCAAUAAGGGAGGGAGGGAGGGAGAGGGCUGGUGUCCCAGGAGAGAUGGCACCUGCUUUGAGCUGUGAUUGAUCAAGCAGGUUUCAUCUCCCUGAGACAUCAGAUGCUGCUACUUCUAAUCUUCCAGACACCAGUCUUUCUUCAAAAACACAUGCAAAGGCUGCUUCCAUGCAUCCUUAUGGAAAAGCUUAUAAUAUUUAUUGAUUAUUUGAAGAGAUAUUAGAGCAAUAUCUCCAGUUUCAGAUUCUCUCGUCUGAAAGGGAAAAUUUUUCCUGCUGGUAAAAUACUUGAAUUCUGCAGUAGUAGUAUUUGUAUUCUUUCUGGUGGGAGAAUAGGAAUUCUAACCAGGAUGCAUGUAAAUAUCAUAUUGUAAGAUGUGUGGGGAAGUUGGUUGCUUUUGCAGGUGAAAAAGUUGAGUGCAAGUACAUGUGGAAGAUCCACUGGCUUCAGACUGAAACAAGAGAGUACUCCUCAAAGACUUGAGAAUUUUUUGAGGUGAAGAUGCAAUUUGCAAGAGAAACCCUAGGAGGCAACCUCAGAUUCUGUGGUAUAAAUUCUCUCUCCUCUAAUCUUCUUUCAAUCAUUUUGAUAAGAAAAUAUCAAAUUUUUAGUAAGUGACUUGUAAUAAAAUUUUAAUUACAGUUAGUCACACCCUAUGAGGCUUAGCGUCACCGUUGGUUUUAAAUUUCAUCGGUUAAUAUCCCUUAUGUAAUAAACACAUUAUGUUAUGUGUACAUCUUCGAUUUUAUAAUUUUAUAUCCAAAUCUCAUCCAUAUUCAUCUGAACCAUCAUCUAACAACCUAAGUUUUAUUAUAAAUAUUCAAUGUUUAGUAAGGGAGUUUGAUAGAAAUAUUUUUCUUUGGUCAAAGUACCAAAAGUUGAAUUAAUUUGUAAUUUCCUACAUAUCAAUUUUGAAGAGAAUCUCUCCUUGUGGAAUAACAAGGGGUCCCCUCCAGCCUUUUGCUUUUAUCAAUAACAAAUAAGCAAUAGGGAUAGAGAAAUUAUCAUUAAUGUCUAUGAACAAGGGAACAUUUCUUGAGCUUUCCUCAUCAUAACAACUGGGAAGUUUGCACUUAUCCCUAAUAAAGUCCUCCCUCCAAGGACCGUACCUCCAUAUUCAUUCCAAUAAUAGAUUCAUUCUAAAUGGAUCACAGAUUCUUUUUACUGUUGCCAUGUGCAUUUUGUACUAACCAUUGAUGUUCUGUUCUGUUUCACUGGUUGGAUUGAGGGGCUUCUGUGGUGUGGAUUAUUAAAGUGGAAGCAAUUCAUAUGUGUCAAUGAUGACUGUUUUUUCGUUUGAAAUGAAAGGUAAAAGCUUACUGGAUGAUGGCAUUUGUAGAGGUUGAGCAGGCAGAGGUUUCAAUCCUCUGCAUUGAUUGAAAAAAGUGAAGGGUAUUGAGUUGUGGUCCUUCCAAGUCCUUGAAGCAUGUAAUCCUCAAUGGGUGAAGAUGUCAUCUUAAUAUUUCUUAGAUGCUACAUAUUUGCACAGAAGCAGUCAUUAUAGUUAGUGUUGUGCAGAAGGAAGCUCUAAUUCGAGGUUUUAAAUGAUUCAACCAAUCAUGUCUACGUCCACGGAUGAUAUCUCUUCCUAUAUAGGUUUUACAUGUCCAUCUUUAUCUCA